ensembl:lncRNA
AUGUCAGUGGCAGGGUGACGUCACGAUGACGCGGGCGUGAUGUGGCUGAUUCAGACGUUUAGCAUCGCGGUUGAGUUCUCGUUGGAGAAUUUGCCUUCGGGUUAUUGUAAUUCUCUGGGGGACAAUCGAGCAGGUAAUCAGAUAAAACGCCACAGUUACGUUACUUUGGAGUUUCCUAGCCUGAAGAUGUCAGCCGUGCUUAUUUGAAGUUAUAGCUAACGUUAGCUCUUGAAAAUCCUUUAAAAAUAAAGCAAAGAAUAAACGAGGCGCCGUUUUUGGCAGCUGUGGUUAGUGGGGUUUAACCCUAACUACUCUACAAUAACGUGCUAUAUAAUUUAGUAUGAGAUGUGCUCACUGUCAGUGCUGUAGUGGUAAAAUUAGAGGUGGGUAAACUCUGAAUUUUGCGAUCAUACAGACCUCGACGCGAUGCGAAGCAACGCAACACAAAGCGGCUAUAUUGCAUUAUGUUAUCAGUAAAAGUCAUAUACAAUCAAUGACAAUGAAUAAAUGUGUUAGUAGUUUGAAGUUUAUUAAAUUUAAGAAAACAGUAAAGAAAAGUAUGUCAACACAACAACACAAUUGCAGAUUAAGAACUAUCUACAUAUGGAGUCUCCUCUUUACAGUAGUGCCCAGAGGGCCUCCUUGUCCUCCACGUCAGGUCCUGCCUUGCACAGAGGAGCCAUGAACAACAGCAAAAAGAAAACACCACACAGACAACUUGCUUGCCCCUAAAGAUGCAUUUGGUCGCUUAAUUGUGAUCAGUUCAAUAGUUCAACCAAAAGUAGAUUGUUGUUUUUACAUUUUAAACACUAUUGCUAAACCACUUGUACAUAAAAAUGAUCACAAUGCUCUUUGGUCCUUAUUUUUGAAGAUGGUUCCACAGUUAUGGAAAAUAGGAGAUGGACUUGUAGCUCUUGGGACUUGGGCUCAUGCCAGUCUGCACUGAUCAAUGAACCCUUGUCCAUUAAAUGAAGACAGCAGCUAAUUUCAGGUAUGGAUGGAUGAUUGCCUCUUCUGUAUCUGGCUUUCAAAGCCCUCUCGCUGGACCAAGGAGGAGGGCAGCUUGACCUGAGGAGUUCACAUAAGGUCUUCUACUUCAGAAGAAAAAAACAGAACAUUAGAGGGAAUGAGCCCAUGCAUGUAAACAGCACCUAACAGGACACCCUGACCGUAGCACUGUGAACCAAUGUUAUUACUAAAUACUACUUGAAUGAAUGGACAAUAUUGAGCGACAAUACAAAAGAGCUUUAAAAGAUUGUUGCAUGCACGGUAAUGUGGAAACAUUUAGUAUGCCUGAGACCGAUUGUGUAUUAAGAUGAAGAAUCAAAUUGAAUCAGCCACAUUCGACUCAUAUGAGCAUCAUGAUAAUCAUUCAAUAGGUCCGGAAAGUAACUUCCCCAGUUGUAAAAUCGAAUUGGGCGUUAAUUUGGGAGUUUUUCUGUUUAUAAAUUAGCUUUAUCUAAUCAAUUGUUCCUUUAUAAUUUGAUAUAUCCCAACAGACAACAAUUAUGUUUCAGACGUCAGAGCACAAUUCUGAUAAUAACUGUGAAUUCCUUUUUUAUUUAUUUGUUGGGGUUAUAACAAGUCAAAGUUGAAUAUAAUUGUGUUUAUUCUCAAGUAAACCUGCCAUGUGUAAUUCAUGUUUUUUUUUUUAACUGGACAGGACAGGAUACAGAACAUAACCAUAUUUUGUUUCUGACUAAUUUUCUAAAACAUAUGUUGAUGAGGUUUUUGUGUUCAUUUUAUAGAAGUUGCUAAGAGAAGGUGUUUCAAUGCUUCUUUUGUAUCACCAAGACUGACAUCUGGAGGAUAAAACAAAGAGCUGCAAGUGUUUCAGACUUCUUUUCUUUUUGGAAUUCUGAGGAAUUAGUUUUUUGGAAACACUAAUGAACCCCUUGCGUGUCCUUUGCGUGCCCUUUUCACACCAAAACCCAUUCAUUCUCUAUGGUUGUGCUAAACCACUGCGGGUGUAAUAUAUCUUUGGCCACCGGUGGCGCUGUUGUGCGGACCGAGCGUUUGCCCGGAUGUAAAGCGUUUCUCCGGUCAUUCUCCGUCAGUCUACCCGGGAUAGAGCACCGAAGCGACGGUGCACCUUCGUCGGACCUCGCGCUAUGAGGAAGUCACUAAACAGUAAGUCAAUGACAUUUAAUGUGUAAUAAUUAUUAAGAUAAAUAUGCAGCAUGACUAUAAAUAUAAUUUAUGUUGGUGUCACGCCACAUGUUAGUUUAUAGUUGUGUUCACGUGUGUUUGACUGCAUUAAUUACUAGUUGCAUAUCACAGAUGUUACUCAACUAAUAAAUGAGGAUCUUGUAAUAGAUUAAACCACCAGAAUUGUUUAAAGUCAGUCAAAUUUAAACACAUUAAUGCCUCAAUGAUUAGGAUAAUAUAUGAUAUAUUUGGCAUCACGACUAGUUUUAAUCUUACUUUAAAAAAAGUUAAUUUAACUUAAAGUUAAUUUAAGUCCCUGAAGCCCAUGUACUGGGGACUGGCACAGCGCUGCAGCGCUGCAGGCAUAGAAAAGGCACAAUAACAGUGGGUAGACAGGUAAAUUAUAUCAAUAUUUUUAACCAUCAUUGGUGACACAAACAGCUCAUAGUAACAACUUAGAUUACUUUUCAUUUUUUUCAGUUUCAUUAAAGAAAAGCCCUUUGCAUUCAAUUUUAUUUUGAUGACCAUAUCCACCGGUGCACACAUGGUGGUCUAUAUGACUGCUGUCACAUCGAUGGCUUUCCUUUUCUUUUUUCUUUCAGGGAUUGCUGUGUUGCACUUAAGGUGGCAGAGUCGUCUGCAGGAGAACAUCUGAAAUGGGAUUCUUGGAGAACAAGAGAUUGCCAAUGUCACGUCUGGCAACCAUCACAUUUUAAUGCAAACAUUAAUAUCAAGCUGGACUUGUUUCACUGCAUGAGGCGGUUCCUCCGUGAGUGUGUGUCGGUGGCAUCCCGCCCUGUACAGUUCCUUUGCUCAGUUCCUUUGCUCAGUUCCUCUGGACUGGGACAAGCACAACAGCAAGACAGAUCACACCCAGGCCCCGAAUCCACCUCCUCAAAGUGAUCCACUCGCUACACAGUCGGAGGUUCAAGGGUGUUCCAGUUUUCUCCAUACAUUUGUGUCACUUAUCCAUUUUUUUACAAGAUGUGAAAAUAUAUUUAGGGUGUUAUUAAAUAAACAUUCACAUACAAAUACCAGUCUUUCAUGAGCUUUUAAUGAAAGUUUAUAUUUAUUAGACAAGUAUUUGAUUCUCUAGGUCAGAAUGACUUAUAAUACUCUGUCUUUUGUUCCUGUAGAAACUCUACACAGCAAAAAUUGGAGUGUUGAAAUUUCAGGGUUAAAAAUUUCCGAGUUGAUUUUCACUCCCAGAGUGUAAUUUCAACACAUUCUGAUUUAAAUGGUGUUCAGUGUUGGAGUUAUUUGGCAGAGUUGAUCAUGUCAGUGUUAACCCAACUCCGCAGAGACGUAAUUAAGCUCCGCCCACGCCUUUCACCUCUUCGGUUAGAGACAGAGAAGACAAGUCUGCGCCAUUUUCUACCUCUCAUGCAGCACUACACGGUAAGUGCAAUUAAGUUAAACUUACUGAAACAAUUAAAAAUUGAUGCUGAGAAUUUCAGUAUGAACAAUUAAAUAUCCACAGAGAAUAUAUGCCUUACACAGCCGUGUUUGUUGCCAGGACUGAACAGUAAAUUUGUCCUCGUGGUUAGCUAGCUAGUUAGCAGUGUACGGUAAGCUAGCUAACAGUUUGUUACUAAAACUCUCCAACUUUAUCAAUAAUGAUUUAACAAUUCACAGGCAUGCUCAAAGCUAGGAAAUACAAAGCAUUAUGAUUUUUAACUGCAUAAAAUCUUGUUUGAGGCUGGAGCUGACGUUUUUUUUUUCACUUUGAAGAUCAAAGGGACCGCAAAAAACGUGUCCCAACAUGCAGACGGGUGUUUCACGUGUCUAGUUCACGUGUCUUGACAAUCAUGGGAACACUUCUAUGAUGCUGCAAGCAGCACAGGGUACAUUUCUUGGCGUCUGAAAACAGUCCAGAGGAAGAUUCUGCACAGCCACCAAAUAGCCCAAUUGACUUUUCUCCAGGAGGCCCAAAUUGGCAAAGGACUGUUAAUGUUGAAGGGCAGCUUGAUGGUGAUGCUUGCCAAGAGGCCAUGUCUUUGCUUAACCAUACAGCAGACAAUUCCCUGAUUUUCCAGAAGAUGAGAGAAACCUUUCAGCAUCGUCAGAAGUUUGUUUGACUAAUAGAUGGAUGACUGUUUAAAACUUUGUCAUAAUGCCUCCCUGUUCUCAUUCAAACUUAACGUGUUACAUUUGAAAAGUUUUUAGUUAACUCUUGUGACUGUUUGUCCUCAGCCUACGACCAAGAAAUGGCCUCCCUGUUGUUGCUGUUACAUCUCCUUCCACCACCUCCAGGGGGACUGAAGUCUCCAAAAAAUAGUGCAUGUGAUGCAGUUGAAAGACUUGUUGUAUUUCAUAAGUCAUGCUGCAGUUUGGAGGAGCAUCUCCGCAACCAGCAGGGUCGGCAGCCGUACCUCCUCGCUGUUGGGCGUCAGAAGAGCAAGAUUGACAGCUUCUACAUCACCAUGGAUAAGCGUCUCAUCCCAUGCAAGGCAAACCGCUCCCUCGGGGCAUGUGAUGAACUUUUCAAAGCACAUUUUGUGUUUAAUUUGUCUUACGAUGUGGCACUUGUGAAUUUUUAUACAUUCCUGCAGACAACAGUGUAUAACAUUGAUGUGGGGAAAAUGAAGGAGUCACCCAGAGUUAAAGACUUGAGAGCAAGACUGCUUAACCAGCCAGUAGCAUUCUCACCCUGUGAGUAAGAAGCUAUAACAAUGCUGACCUGUUUCAUGUGUUGACAAACAAGCUAUUUACAGAGAAUUUUCAUGACCAUCAUCAUGCAUUCAGAGUAUUACGAAGUGCGGAAAGAUGUUUACUAAAAAUGUCUGCGCUUAAAUUUCAUAAACCGUUUCAUAUUCAAAGCUCAUAUAAUGUUUUGGAUGAAAGUUUGUACAUUAUACCUUCAUUCACAAUGUUUUAAUUCAACUGACUGCAAGGGAGAAAAGGAAUAAAUGUUUUUGAAAAUGUUUUUUAUUGUGAUGAAUUCUUAUUAAUAUAAGUAUAUAUUUAAUUAAUACAUUUAAAAUGAAUUAACAUUUUUUCAGUGUAGAUAAUUGACACAUUAGGGAGUGUAAUUAACACUACCAAAAUAGUUAAAAAAAUUAACUCGGAGCAGUGUUAGUUGUCUAAUCCCUCAGUGUUACUUUAACACUGUUUUGUGAGUUAAUAAAGGAACUCUGGUAGAGUGUUAAAUGUUUAACUAUUUUGAAAGUGUUAAUUUAACUCUGGAGAGUGUGGAGCUAUAUAAACUCUCAAAAAGUGUUGAAAUCAACUCUGUGGGAGUUAAUUCAACACUGGACAUUUUGCUGUGUACGUCCGCCGUCGCUGGCAGUUAUCGACCUGCUGCUCAACAAACACCGUGAGCAGAAGGACAUGCUGAAGCUUGUGGACCAGGACUACGCUGCUCUAGUUCACAACUCCUGCACAGACCCCAACAGCAUGCUCCACCCGACAACAAAACUACAUGUUCUACAAUAUGUAAAGCACCUCAGCAAAUUGUUGAACACCAGUUCCUCUUUAAACGUCAGUCCAGAAAAACUGCAAGAGAGGCAGAAACUCUGUCACUCUCUGACAGAGGCGAGUGAGACUACUAGUGUGCAGGUUGUUACGAUGUCUGUUGUAAUUGUUCACCCACCUCCACCUGUUCAGAUGCUGACACAAGCUUCUGUUGAGAAGAUUGUACCCAACAUCAUGGAAAAGCAGCAGCAACAUAAACAGGAACAACAACAACAACCGGGGCAAAAGAAGGGCCGCACGAAAGACAAAAGUUCUUUCAGCUAGAACUGGAUGCCACACAGAAAAGUUCCAUCUGGCAUUUUAAGUGCAAUUAUUUGUAAUAUUCAUGUUGUAAUUAGUUUAUAUAUUGGUUUCUUGCAUUUGUGACUUUGUACAUUGAAAUAUUAUCAUUUUAUUAUUUAUAUUUGGUUUUAAUAUUCAUUAGUUUAAUUAUUUAAAUGUCUUUAUUUCUGUAACAUGUUUGUUUGUAUAGGACUAUACAAAUCGGUUGAUGUAUCUGUGUUCAACAUUUACUGUCCAAGUUAAUAAAUAUAUUUCAAUU